AUUGAACGCUGGCGGCAUGCUUUACACAUGCAAGUCGAACGGCAACAGGCCGCAAGGUGCUGACGAGUGGCGAACGGGUGAGUAAUGCAUCGGAACGUGCCCAGUCGUGGGGGAUAACUAUCCGAAAGGAUAGCUAAUACCGCAUACGAUCUGCGGAUGAAAGCGGGGGACCUUCGGGCCUCGCGCGAUUGGAGCGGCCGAUGUCAGAUUAGGUAGUUGGUGGGGUAAAGGCUCACCAAGCCAACGAUCUGUAGCUGGUCUGAGAGGACGACCAGCCACACUGGGACUGAGACACGGCCCAGACUCCUACGGGAGGCGGCAGUGGGGAAUUUUGGACAAUGGGCGCAAGCCUGAUCCAGCAAUGCCGCGUGCAGGAAGAAGGCCUUCGGGUUGUAAACUGCUUUUGUACGGAACGAAACGGCUCUGGUUAAUACCUGGGGCUAAUGACGGUACCGUAAGAAUAAGCACCGGCUAACUACGUGCCAGCCGCCGCGGUAA
rnacentral:rRNA from 1 species